rnacentral:rRNA from 1 species
GAUUAGCCUGCGUCCGAUUAGCUAGUUGGUAGGGUAAAGGCCUACCAAGGCUUCGAUCGGUAGGUGAUUCGAGAGGAUGAUCACCCACAAUGGAACUGAGACACGGUCCAUACUCCUACGGGAGGCAGCAGUGGGGAAUUUUACGCAAUGGGCGAAAGCCUGACGUAGCGACACCGCGUGAAUGAAGAAGCCUUUUGGGGUGUAAAGUUCUGUCGGCUGGGACGAAAAAAAUGACGGUACCAGCAAAGGAAGCAUCGGCUAACUACGUGCCAGCAGCCGCGGUAAGACGUAGGAUGCAAGCGUUGUCCGGAUUUAUUGGGCGUAAAGAGUUCGUAGGCGGUUUGUUAAGUCUGAUGUUAAAAAUCGGGGCUCAACCCCGGGACUGCAUUGGAUACUGGCAGACUGGAGUGCGGUAGAGGUAAGUGGAAUUCCUGGUGUAGCGGUGAAAUGCGUAGAUAUCAGGAAGAACACCGGUGGCGUAGGCGACUUACUGGGCCGUAACUGACGCUGAGGAACGAAAGCCAGGGGAGCAAAUGGGAUUAGAUACCCCAGUAGUCCUGGCUGUAAACGAUGUCAACUAGCUGUUGG